UACGUAGGGGGCAAGCGUUGUCCGGAUUUAUUGGGCGUAAAGAGCGUGUAGGCGGCCAGACAGGUCUGCUGUGAAAACUCGAGGCUCAACCUCGAGAUGUCGGCGGAAACCGUCUGGCUAGAGUCCGGAAGAGGAGAGUGGAAUUCCCGGUGUAGCGGUGAAAUGCGCAGAUAUCGGGAAGAACACCUAUGGCGAAGGCAGCUCUCUGGGACGGUACUGACGCUGAGACGCGAAAGCGUGGGGAGCGAACAGG
rnacentral:rRNA from 1 species